rnacentral:misc_RNA from 1 species
UAAUUUGGAGCAGCAGGUUAAAAGCUUAGCUUCUAAAGCAGGAUUUCUCUCCCAUCCUUCUGCCAUGGGAGCUGCAUUUACUGCACAAGGACAAGUUGCUGCAGGCAACAAAUUGAUGCCUUUCAUUGGUUAUCCCAGUGUUGCGAUGUGGCAAUUCAUGCAACCUGCUGUUGUUGACACAUCUCAAGAUCAUGUGCUCCGUCCUCCAGUUGCUUAAGCUGGAUUUGCCAGGUGACUUGCUACUGGAGCUUUGUUCUUUUUGUUG